rnacentral:rRNA from 1 species
UACGAAGGGGGCUAGCGUUGUUCGGAAUUACUGGGCGUAAAGCGCGCGCAGGCGGCUAUCCAAGUCAGUGGUGAAAGCCCGGAGCUCAACUCCGGAACUGCCAUUGAAACUGUUUAGCUUGAGUAUGAGAGAGGUGAGUGGAAUUCCCAGUGUAGAGGUGAAAUUCGUAGAUAUUGGGAAGAACACCGGUGGCGAAGGCGGCGCUCUGGACCGAGACUGACGCUGAGGCGCGAAAGCGUGGGGAGCAAACAGG